rnacentral:rRNA from 1 species
GUGGAUUAGAUACCCUGGUAGUCCAUGCCGUAAACGUUGGGCACUAGGUGUGGGGGACAUUCCACGUUUUCCGCGCCGUAGCUAACGCAUUAAGUGCCCCGCCUGGGGAGUACGGCCGCAAGGCUAAAACUCAAAGGAAUUGACGGGGGCCCGCACAAGCGGCGGAGCAUGCGGAUUAAUUCGAUGCAACGCGAAGAACCUUACCAAGGCUUGACAUACACCGGAAUCACUCAGAGAUGGGUGCGUCUUCGGACUGGUGUACAGGUGGUGCACGGCUGUCGUCAGCU